rnacentral:rRNA from 1 species
AACCCUGGACGGGGGAUCACUCGGCUCGUCCGUCGAUGAAGAGCGCGGCUAUCCGCGUGAACUGAUGCGAAUUGCAGGACUCAGUGAACAUCGACACCUCGAACGCACAUUGCGGCCCCGUGAAAACUGCGCGGUCGGCAGCUGCUACUGCUACA